GUGCAGUAGGCAACUGCGUCGUUCCAAGAGACGUGGAGUACGGGAUGGUGCGGCCUAGGCAAGGGGCAGAGCACAGGUGGGAGUGGACCCGCUGGACAAGCAAGGCCCAGCCCCAACAGGUGGGAGUGGACCCACUGGACAGGCAAGGCCCAGCCCCGACAGGUGGGAGUGGACCUGCUGGACAGGCAAGGCCCAGUCUCAGCAGGUGGGAGUGGACCCACUGCACAGGCAAGGCCCAGCCCCGACAGGUGGGAGUGGACCCACUGGACAGGCAAGGCACAGCCUCAGCAGUUGGGAGUGGACCCGCUAGACAGGCAAGGCCCAGCCCCGACAGGUGGGAGUGGACCUGCUGGACAGGCAAGGCCCAGCCUCAGCAGGUGGGAGUGGACCCACUGGACAGGCAAGGCCCAGCCCCGACAGGUGGGAGUGGACCCACUGGACAGGCAAGGCCCAGUCUCAGCAGGUGGGAGUGGACCCACUGGACAGGCAAGGCCCAGCCUCGGCAGGUGGGAGUGGACCCGCUGGACAGGCAAGGCCCAGCCUCAGCAGGUAGGAGUGGACCUGCUGGACAGGUAAGGCCCAGCCUCAGCAUCUGCCCUCAGCUCAGGGCAUAAACCCCAGCCGCCCUGAUCCUGAGCCCAGGCCCUGAAUGCAAGCUCAGCCCGGCCACUUCGGUCACCACCAGGGGUUUCUGAUGUCCAGACUCCACUCCCCCAUGCAUUGCAGUUCCUCUCGGACUCAAAGCACUGCUUCACCUCGCAGACUUGGUUCCCACAGAACCUCAUUAGCGCGGUGGGUGGCGAGUCUGAGUUCUGAACAGCGCUGUCGGCGGAAGCGUCCAGCCCCUUCAGGGUUCUGCAGGGCUGCAGGAGUGCCCUCAGGGUCCCCAGUGAUCCCCACAGCAGAGCCAUGAAAGCCCAGUCCCUGUGGCCAUCCCAGCCCAACCUGGGGGCCCCCACUGCUGGCUGCGACGUCCCCUUCCCGGGGCCUGCCUGGUGGCCGUGUCUCCGCCCUCUGCCCAGUCUGGCUCCAGCACCCUCCUUGCAGGUCAGGGCCCUGACACUCCACGUGCCACUCUGUGCCUCGGCCCCAUUUCACAGGAUCCAGUCCUGGCAGCUGGCUUCCACCCCUGCCUGCCCACCUUCCCACGACAGAUUGGCAGCCACGUCUGCCUCUCUUGAGCACAUCUCGAGCCGGUCUUCCAGCUUCCUGGAGGCAGAGAGGGCUGGAGAAGGCUGCAAGAACUCUGAGGCCCAGGUGGCGCUGGCCGAACUCCCCAGACCUCUCUCCUGGUCCAGGCUUCACACCCCGCUGACCUGGCCACAGCUAGCCCACCAGGUCCUGCGUUUAUUCUAAGGACCAGCAGGUGCCCCGCAGUGUCCAGCACUGAUGGAGGCACUCGCCCUGGAGCUGGACUCACAGUGUUUACGGCAUGAAUACAUCACAGCCCCCAUGGGGUCUUCCUUCCUGCCCUCGCUGCCUCCUCUCCCAGAGUUCAGGAAAGGAGACGCCCUCCUGAGGUGCCCGGGAACCCCCUGUGUCCACCUCACAGCCUGUUUCCCCACCACGCUCUGAAAGGUUCCUGACCUCUGUCCAGAGAUGACCCCGCGCACACCAGCUGCCGGAUGGCGAGGGCGGUCACCAGGAAUCUUGCUGAAAGCAGGUGAGGAGAGCGGCGUCCCACGCUGCCGGGGCCUAGCCCCCCGCCCUGAGUCUCUAUUUCUGUACCACGUAGUAAGUUCCUGGCCUCCCUAGAGACUCACGCCCCACGUGGCUUCAAGACACGUCAGGCCAGGACUGAAGGGUCCGGGGGUCCCACAGCGGGGCCAAGCUCCUGCAGUGGCCGACGGCAGGACGCAGCUGCUGGUCCUGAGGCAGACUCCUCCCUCCCAGGACAUGGUAAACAGGCCUAGGGCGCUGUCCCAGGGCUGUCGCAGGCAGGAGGCCCGCAAGGUGCCACCCUCCUACAGGGAAGGCGCAGCAUCUGGGUCACACAAAGCUUGCUUCCUGCCACGUCCCUAUGCCACCCGUCACUAAGAGCGUGUCGCUCACGCCAUACAGAGGAAGAGGACCAGGGACUUCUCGGCGCACGGGGAUCUCUGUGGGACAGAAACCCACCACCGGAGGAAGCAGCCUCACCUGUG